UACAGAGGGGGCUAGCGUUAUCCAACGUUACUGGGCGUAAAGGGCACGUAGACAACUUAUGUCGGUUUGAUUUGAAAGGUCACUUUAAUGUGAAAGCGAAUUAAACAGCGGUAUGGUUAGAGUUUAUGGGAGGAUGAAGGAAUUUCCAGUGUAGAGGUACAAUUCGUAGAUAUUGGGAGGAACACCGGUGGCGAAGGCGGCCCUCUGGACCGAAACUGACACUGAAGCGCGAAAGCUAGGGGAGCAAACGGG
rnacentral:rRNA from 1 species